ACUAUUUUGGCAGAUAAGUGCAAUAAAUUUAGAAUUUAUUUAUAUAGAGUUAUAUCUAUAAAUAGUA
rnacentral:tRNA from 1 species